CAUCCUCUCAUCCACAUCGCCGCAUCAGGUGAUGAUGCAGAAUGUCACGGCACCACCAGGACUCGAUGUUGAGCUGGGUUUUUUCGACGGGCCCCGGUGACGGAGUCAUUCACAGGCAAGGGCCAUAAAUGGCCCCAGUUGAACACCCCUUUGAGCACUGCAUUCUCAGGAAUCAGAACUGACUGGAGCACAGCCAAAAUGCCAGGAACAAAAGGUAAUAAGUCGGACAAGAAGUCAGGUACCAAGCAACCUCAGAGUCCUAAAGAGCAGCCGAAGAAAGCUGAUCCGAAGGGAGAUGAUACCAAAAAGCAAGGAGCAGGACAGCCGAAGGGAGAGAAGCAAUAACUUCCAGGCGUUUGUGAAGAUGGCUUUGGAGACACUGCUGGGGUCCUGCCGCCGUACACGCGGCAGCCCCCGAGGUGAACGGGGCUGAGUGCACCCCUCCCAUCGCACGCUCCCACUCAACCUGCCGACUGGGCUGUUGUGCGGAGAGAGAGAGAGAGAGAGAGAGAGAGAAAGUGAACCUGAUCUCCAUCCAUCACCAUCUGUUGUUCAACCUGUCCCACCAACCCUUUCCUUUGCCCUCUUCUCCACACGGGCUCAUCGGAUGCUCAGAAAUAGACUCCAGGUUAAACCGGACCAUUGCUUUGAGCAAAAAAAUAAAAUAAAAUGCUGUUAUCCCUUUGCAAUCCUUCCUGAACUCACCUUCAUAUCACGAUCGACUGUCUGACAGUCCUUGUAAAUACCAAUAAUGCAAAUAAACAACUAUUUCUUU